AGUCUCUUCGGAGAUGAGUAGAGUGGCGCACGGGUGAGUAACGCGUGGAUAAUCUACCUAUUGGUACGGGACAACAGUUGGAAACGACUGCUAAUACCGUAUAAGCUGGAAACGGGAAAGGGGGCCUCUUCUUGAAAGCUCUCGCCAGUAGAUGAGUCCGCGUUUCAUUAGCUAGACGGUGGGGUAACGGCCUACCGUGGCAACGAUGAAUAGCAGGCCUGAGAGGGUGGCCUGCCACACUGGGACUGGAACACGGCCCAGACUCCUACGGGAGGCAGCAGUGGGGAAUAUUGCGCAAUGGACGAAAGUCUGACGCAGCGACGCCGCGUGGAGGAUGAAGGUUUUCGGAUCGUAAACUCCUGUCAAGAGGGAAGAAACCUAUUAAGAAUAAUACUCUUAGUAUUGGACGGUACCUCUAGAGGAAGCACC
rnacentral:rRNA from 1 species